rnacentral:lncRNA from 1 species
ACCAACCAGCCAGCUCCAAAACCCGGCCAACACCCAACAUCGACGACCCAACUACAAUAACAGCAAAACAACAAUAACAAUAGAGGAACAACGACAACAACAACUUCAACCCGACUUCAACAAUUUCGACUCGCAAAUCAUCGGUAAGACCUGAUUCCAGCUCAGUAGCCAACGUUCAAAAUUCCCAUUCAUACCGAAUCAUACGAUUCCAGAUCACAUUGCUCAUUCUUAUCCCCAAUUUGAAUUUUCUUAAGAAAAAUCCCCAAAAACUCCCUCGAAAAUCCUUCAGUCCCACAUUGAUUCUUCCUCAGAAAUUCCAUCCCUUUAAAUACUCCUUCAAUUCCAUUAUUUAAGGGGUUGGAGAGUUUGAAUAGAGGGAACCCAAAAAAAGCAUGGACUUUUGCUAUCCGAAGAAGGAUUCUUGUGCCAAGAAAUCUAGUAAGACUCGUUUGAGCUUGAAUUUCUAGGCUAAGAAUCUGGGUUCAUUUUCUAAUGGUGGCGAGAAUCUCGAUGAGCUCGACGUUUCAGUUUGCUUCUCCGAAUGAGGUAAACUUCUCGCUUUGUUUUUUCUCGUGAUUCUGCCUCAUCUUCGUUAUCGUAGAAUUAAUUUAGUUUUCUUUUAUUUGUGGGAUUAUUUAUUGUAGAAGACUUGAAGGCCAUAGAAUUUUUCAUGUUUGAUACGUAGUUCUGCUAAAAACUCGUUCUAGCCUUUGUUUGUUUGGCUGUUGUUCAUCUCUUGUUUCUCGUUUCGUUCUGUCUGGACGUUACUUGUAGCUCUAAUUCUUUGACUUUAGAAAUUGUUUUGCUGUUACCUCAUAUUCAAUGUCGCCUUGUGGUUCAUAAAGGGUUAAAAAUAAAAGCUUUAUGUGUCUUUGAAGUUCAACAAUGUUUAAAGGUAUAUAUUAGGCGACCUGUUUGCAUAUCAUUCUCGUUUGAUUACUGGAGUUUGCUAAAAAUAAAAAGUUGAAUGUUUGUUUUCUUCCUGUUUGCUACUCUGGAUGUACAAGGGUCUCAUUUGAUUCUAAAGCCAUUUUUUAAAUAAUAAAUAUAGAGAGUAGUCCAUACGGUCAAAUUUAAUUUUCUUUGUGGGUACAUUCUGUUAGUGUAUUCAAGUUUGUUGUAAUUGACUCAUGAGAAGAGAUUAAGAGUUUUAUUGGAUAAAGCUUCUUCCUUUUCUUGAUUUUCUUGUUUGCAUCUAAGAAAAAUUGUGGCAUCUCGUUUCAUGCUUAAAUCGUCUAAAAAUUUGAGUUUUGGUGGGUAGAACGUAACUUUGUAUAUGUUGCAUUCCCGAUUUUUUGGUUUAUGUGUUGUUUGAAGCUCAUUUGUUUGCUAUCAUAGUUGUAACAAAGACAUUAAGAUUCAAGCCUUACUUAUUUAAAGUUUCAGCUAUCUCUUUCUCGCCUAAAGUGAUUGAGUCUUUAAUUUGCACAUGUUUGGAAUUCUGAAAUAUGAAUGUUGCUUGUGUGAUCCAUGGUUUAUGUAGUGUGAUCCAAGAGUUGUAAUUCCCUUUUUACUUGGUCUUUUCUUUGAGAUUUUUUCUUGUCAGCUCUUUGCAUUUAAACUCAAUUUUCUCUCAUAUGGUUUAUUGUUCAUUGAGAUUGAUCUAGGAAAAUGUCCAUAUCCUGCCUUGAAGUCAUAAUAUCGGUUUGGUCACUUGCUUAUCUUUUCAUCAAAAUUUGUGGCUUUUGCUAACAUUCUUAGUAACAUUUUGACUUAAGUAGAAAUCAAUUCGCUCGCUUAUUAUAAUCAUUCACUUUUUAGUAAUCACAUAUAUGUUGAACUUCUACUCAUUCCUUUUCUUUUUUCGUGCAUGAACAAUCCGAGUCCAUUGGACUUCAUACCCCUGCAUUCUUCGAGACCAAGACCCAAGCUUCCUACAAAUCCAAAAGGAACUAUCUCAUGAAGAUACAAGGCUGUAUACAAAGAUAUACAACAAAGAUACAUUGUAUACAAGCGUUAGAAGCUGAUAUACAGGUUCAAAGGAGUAAGAAGUCAAGGAAGAUGGUAUACAAAUUCACAAGCUGGUAUGCAAUAUGUAUACAUCCAAAACGCGAAAGAGAGAUGAUGAUAUAUAGCUGGUAUACAAGCUGCAAAAUGGGCUAAAAGCCCAAGUUCAAAUCUGGACAGCUUUCAAAUGGGCCAGAUAAGAGGCCCAAACUUCCUUUCUUUAUUUAUUUUGUAUAAUUCAUGUUUGAUUAUUUGUUGUAUUAAAUUCUUAAAUUUGGAGAACCUUAACAAAUCCCCUUUGGAUCGUUAAUUUUGUUUAUCUUUGCAUUUUCCUUUUAAGUGUUUGUCACCUAGUGUAAUGUUGGAAAUUAAUUGGAAAUAUGUACUUUUCUUUAUGUUUUUCUCUUAAACGAAAAAAAAAUAAUCAAAAUGAUAUUUUG